rnacentral:rRNA from 1 species
GACGAACGUUGGCGGCGUGCUUAAUACAUGCAAGUCAACUGAAGCAGUGGUAGCAAUAUCGCUGUGGAGGUGGCGCACGGGUGAGUAACACGUAGGUAAUCUGCCUUCAGGUCUGGCAUAACUCCGGGAAACCGGGGCUAAUAGCAGAUGAUGCAGCGGCUCGACAUCGAGACAGUUGUUAAAGCUAUGGCGCCUGAAGAUGAGCCUGCGUCUGAUUAGCUAGUUGGCGGGGUAACGGCCCACCAAGGCAACGAUCAGUAGCUGGUCUGAGAGGAUGAUCAGCCACACUGGAACUGAGACACGGUCCAGACUCCUACGGGAGGCAGCAGUAAGGAAUAUUGCUCAAUGGGAGAAAUCCUGAAGCAGCAACGCCGCGUGAGGGACGAAGGGCUUUUGCUUGUAAACCUCUGUAGUGAGAGAAAAAAAUCCCAAUCUUUGGGACAUGAUGGUAUCUCAAAAGUAAGCCCCGGCUAACUACGUG